CACGUAGGGUGCGAGCGUUGUCCGGAAUUAUUGGGCGUAAAGAGCUCGUAGGCGGUUUGUCGCGUCGACUGUGAAAACCCGAGGCUUAACCUCGGGCCUGCAGUCGAUACGGGCAGACUAGAGUUCGGUAGGGGAGACUGGAAUUCCUGGUGUAGCGGUGAAAUGCGCAGAUAUCAGGAGGAACACCAAUUGCGAAGGCAGCUCGCUGGGACGCUACUGACGCUGAGACGCGAAAGCGUGGGGAGCAAACAGG
rnacentral:rRNA from 1 species